rnacentral:rRNA from 1 species
AUUGAACGCUGGCGGCAGGCCUAACACAUGCAAGUCGAGCGGAGCGGCGGACGGGUGAGUAAGGCCUAGGAAUCUGACUGGCAGUGGGGGAUAACGUCCGGAAACGGGCGCUAAUACCGCACACUAGCAGAUGAGCCUGGGUGGGUUUAGCUAGUGGGUGGGGUAAUGGCCUACCAAGGCGACGACCCGUAACUGGUCUGAGAGGAUGAUCAGUCACACUGGAACUGAGACACGGUCCAGACUCCUACGGGAGGCAGCAGUGGGGAAUAUUGCACAAUGGGCGAAAGCCUGAUCCAGCCAUGCCGCGUGUGUGAAGAAGGUCUUCGGAUUGUAAAGCACUUUCAGUUGGGAGGCGUUACCAACAGAAGAAGCACCGGCUAACUUCGUGCCAGCAGCCGCGGUAAUUC